AGCAGUAGGGCGCAGUGGUAGCGCGCGGGGCCUGGCAUAGUAUCCUCGAGAUUCCAUGUCCCCCCGAGGUCACUUGAUCGAAACAAGUUGCUGCUA